AAAACGGGCGGCUCUUUUUUUGUGUCUCUGCCUACUAUUUUCAUUCACUCUGUUGCCUUUGUGGCUAUUCUCUCUUUGUGAUUAUAGCUUCCUUUGUUUUUUCUAAGUGGUUGAACAAAGAGAAAUCGUAAGUGGAAGGGUGGUUGAAGGGAUUUUGGGUUACUUUUCACAGUGGUGUCGAUUAUUGGAAGAACUGAGCUCAAAAAAUGCUUUGGUGAUAUUCACUUCUACACAACAUCUGGUAUUAGAAGGGUGUGGGAGUUUUCAGCUAGAAAUCAUCUGACAAAUUGUCCAAAAUCAUGCCAUUUUCCGACAUGACCAAGCCUGAAAGUUGUAAUUUCGGCCAAACCACUUACCGGUGGGAUAAACCAAGACCAGGCCCAACUUCAUUAGAUAUAGGCACUUCUCCUUGUGCGGCGUGUGGUGGCAAUGGCAAUCGAUCAUGGCGACGUGUGACAACGACUUUGGAGAAGAUUUCUUUGGACAGGUUGCUCAUAUUAACUUUCUGAACGUAUUGAUAUCUUUAAUUUCGUGUUUUAGAUUUUACAGAAAUUUUAGAUGAUUUUGCC
rnacentral:lncRNA from 1 species